GUAGUCUGCAACUCGACUACAUGAAGCUGGAAUCGCUAGUAAUCGCGGAUCAGAAUGCCGCGGUGAAUACGUUCCCGGGUCUUGUACACACCGCCCGUCACACCAUGGGAGUCAGUAACGCCCGAAGCCGGUGACCCAACCUAAACAGGAGGGAGCCGUCGAAGGCGGGACGGAUGACUGGGUGAAGUCGUAACAAGGUAGC
rnacentral:rRNA from 1 species